rnacentral:rRNA from 1 species
CUACGGGCUGCACCAGUGGGGAAUAUUGGACAAUGGAGGCAACUCUGAUCCAGCAAUUCCGCGUGAAUGAUGAAGGUCUUCGGAUUGUAAAAUUCUUUUAGUUGGGAAGAUAGUGACGGUACCAACAGAAAAAGCACCCGCUAAUUACGUGCCAGCAGCCGCGGUAAGACGUAAGGUGCAAGCGUUAUCCGGAAUUACUAGGCGUAAAGGGCAUCUAGGCGGCUAAUUAAGUCAGAGGUGAAAAGUCAGGGCUCAACCUUGGCCUUGCCUUUGAUACUGGUAAGCUAGAGUACGGGAGAGGAGGGCGGAACUACAAGUGUAGCGGUGAAAUGCGUAGAUAUUUGUAGGAAUGCCAAUGACGAAGGUAGCUCUCUGGACCGAUACUGACGCUAAAGUGCGAAAGCUAGGGGAGCAAACAGGAUUAGAUACCCUUGUAGUC